GAGUACCACGGGACACGUGAAACCCUGUGGGAAGCAGGAGGGACCACCCUCCAAGGCUAAAUACUACCUAGUGACCGAUAUCGUAUAGUACCGUGAGGGAAAGGUGAAAAGAACCCCGGGAGGGGAGAGAAAUAGAACCUGAAACCCUGCACUUACAAGCUGUGGAAGCACAUUUCUUGUGUGACCGCGUACUUUUUGUAGAACGGGCCAACGAGUUACGUUAAGUAGCAAGGUUAAGCACUUAAGGUG
rnacentral:rRNA from 1 species